rnacentral:rRNA from 1 species
CCUACGGGUGGCAGCAGUGAGGAAUAUUGGUCAAUGGGCGGGAGCCUGAACCAGCCAAGCCGCGUGAGGGAAGAAGGUACAGCGUAUCGUAAACCUCUUUUGUCAGGGAACAAAGGCGGGGACUAGUCCCCGGAUGAGGGUACCUGAAGAAAAAGCAUCGGCUAACUCCGAGCCAUCAGCCGCGGUAAUACGGGGGAUGCGAGCGUUAUCCGGAUUUAUUGGGUUAAAAGGGUGCGCGGGCGGCCUGUUAAUGCAGCGGUAAAAUCCCGGGGCUCAACCCCGGCGAGCCGUUGAAACUGGCGGGCUGGAGUUGGAGAGAAGGUCGCGGAAUGCGCGGUGUAGCGGUGAAAUGCUUAGAGAUCGCGCAGAACCCCGAUUGCGAAGGCAGCGGACCGGCUCCACACUGACGCUGAGGCACGAAAGCGUGGGUAUCGAACAGGAUUAGAUACCCUUGUAGUC